rnacentral:lncRNA from 1 species
GUCUUGGAUGGCAAAGCAUCUUUAUGGCAUUUGAAAAUAUCAUUAAAAGAAAAACUAUUUCUUGGUUAUAAAAUUUCAAAGUUUAAAUGGCAUUGAACAAUGUUUGAUUAAAGAUGUUUUUAAUUAAUUCUUGAAACAAAAGGCACUGAUCAUAUUGCGUACUUUUACAGAAAUUUGGAUUGUCUCAGUAUUUAUACAAACUUUUACCCUAAUUACCAAUACAGGAAAUAUUUUAAGGAAUUGCACAUUUUAAAUGAUUAAAAUAGAAUUAAAAUGCAAUGUAUGAC